rnacentral:rRNA from 1 species
AGAGUUUGAUCCUGGCUCAGGAUGAACGCUAGCGGCAAGCCUAACACAUGCAAGUCGAACGGUAACUUUUGGUGCUUGCACCGAAAGACGAGUGGCGAACGGGUGCGUAACGCGUAUGCAAUCUGCCUUUUACUAGGGUAUAGCCCAGAGAAAUUUGGAUUAAUCCCCUAUAAUAUCAUUUAAUCGCAUGAUUUUAUGAUUAAAGCUUCGGCGGUAAAAGAUGAGCAUGCGUCCUAUUAGUUAGUAGGUGAGGUAACGGCUCACCUAGACUCCGAUAGGUAGGGGUCCUGAGAGGGAGAUCCCCCACACUGGUACUGAGACACGGACCAGACUCCUACGGGAGGCAGCAGUGAGGAAUAUUGGACAAUGGACGAAAGUCUGAUCCAGCUAUGCCGCGUGCAGGAUGACGGCCCUAUGGGUUGUAAACUGCUUUUAUACAGGAAGAAAAACUCCGACGUGUCGGAACUUGACGGUACUGUAAGAAUAAGGAUCGGCUAACUCCGUGCCAGCAGCCGCGGUAAUACGGAGGAUCCAAGCGUUAUCCGGAAUCAUUGGGUUUAAAGGGUCCGUAGGCGGUUUUUUAAGUCAGAGGUGAAAUCCUGCAGCUCAACUGUAGAAUUGCCUUUGAUACUGAAAGACUUGAGUUAUUGUGAAGUGGUUAGAAUGUGUGGUGUAGCGGUGAAAUGCGUAGAUAUCACACAGAAUACCAAUUGCGAAGGCAGAUCACUAACAAUAUACUGACGCUCAGGGACGAAAGCGUGGGUAGCGAACAGGAUUAGAUACCCUGGUAGUCCACGCCGUAAACGAUGGAUACUAGCUGUAUGUCUACUUCAGGUAGAUGUGUGGCUAAGCGAAAGUGAUAAGUAUCCCACCUGGGGAGUACGAUCGCAAGAUUGAAACUCAAAGGAAUUGACGGGGGCCCGCACAAGCGGUGGAGCAUGUGGUUUAAUUCGAUGAUACGCGAGGAACCUUACCAGGGCUUAAAUGUAACGGGACAGG